rnacentral:rRNA from 1 species
AGCGAACGCUGGCGGCAGGCUUAACACAUGCAAGUCGAACGGGCAUCUUCGGAUGUCAGUGGCAGACGGGUGAGUAACACGGGGGAACGUACCCUUCGGUUCGGAAUAACUCAGGGAAACUUGAGCUAAUACCGGAUACGCCCUCUUGGGGAAAGGUUUACUGCCGAAGUAUCGGCCCGCGUCUGAUUAGCUUGUUGGUGGGGUAACGGCCUACCAAGGCGACGAUCAGUGGCUGGUCUGAGAGGAUGAUCCGCCACACUGGGACUGAGACCCGGCCCCGACUCCUACGGGAGGCAGCAGUGGGGAAUAUUGGACAAUGGGCGCAAGCCUGAUCCAGCCAUGCCGCGUGAGUGAUGAAGGCCUUAGGGUUGUAAAGCUCUUUUGUCCGGGACGAUAAUGACGGUACCGGAAGAAUAAGCCCCGGCUAACUUCGUG